rnacentral:rRNA from 1 species
GUGGGGAAUCUUCCGCAAUGGACGAAAGUCUGACGGAGCAACGCCGCGUGAGUGAAGAAGGUUUUCGGAUCGUAAAGCUCUUUCGUUAGGGACGAACGUGCUCUUUGUGAAUAAUGAGGAGUAAUGACGGUACCUAAAUAAGAAGCCACGGCUAACUAUGUGCCAGCAGCCGCGGUAAUACGUAGGUGGCAAGCGUUGUCCGGAAUUAUUGGGCGUAAAGCGCGCGCAGGCGGGAUAUCAAGUCUGUCUUAAAAGUGCGAGGCUCAACCUCGUGAGGGGACAGAAACUGGUAUUCUUGAGUGUCGGAGAGGAAAGUGGAAUUCCAAGUGUAGCGGUGAAAUGCGUAGAGAUUUGGAAGAACACCAGUGGCGAAGGCGACUUUCUGGACGAUGUCUGACGCUGAGGCGCGAAAGCUAGGGGAGCGAACGGGAUUAGAUACCCUUGUAGUCC